GACGAACGCUGGCGGCGUGCCUAAUACAUGCAAGUCGAACGAACUCUGGUAUUGAUUGGUGCUUGCAUCAUGAUUUACAUUUGAGUGAGUGGCGAACUGGUGAGUAACACGUGGGAAACCUGCCCAGAAGCGGGGGAUAACACCUGGAAACAGAUGCUAAUACCGCAUAACAACUUGGACCGCAUGGUCCGAGCUUGAAAGAUGGCUUCGGCUAUCACUUUUGGAUGGUCCCGCGGCGUAUUAGCUAGAUGGUGGGGUAACGGCUCACCAUGGCAAUGAUACGUAGCCGACCUGAGAGGGUAAUCGGCCACAUUGGGACUGAGACACGGCCCAAACUCCUACGGGAGGCAGCAGUAGGGAAUCUUCCACAAUGGACGAAAGUCUGAUGGAGCAACGCCGCGUGAGUGAAGAAGGGUUUCGGCUCGUAAAACUCUGUUGUUAAAGAAGAACAUAUCUGAGAGUAACUGUUCAGGUAUUGACGGUAUUUAACCAGAAAGCCACGGCUAACUACGUGCCAGCAGCCGCGGUAAUACGUAGGUGGCAAGCGUUGUCCGGAUUUAUUGGGCGUAAAGCGAGCGCAGGCGGUUUUUUAAGUCUGAUGUGAAAGCCUUCGGCUCAACCGAAGAAGUGCAUCGGAAACUGGGAAACUUGAGUGCAGAAGAGGACAGUGGAACUCCAUGUGUAGCGGUGAAAUGCGUAGAUAUAUGGAAGAACACCAGUGGCGAAGGCGGCUGUCUGGUCUGUAACUGACGCUGAGGCCCGAAAGUAUGGGUAGCAAACAGGAUUAGAUACCCUGGUAGUCCAUACCGUAAACGAUGAAUGCUAAGUGUUGGAGGGUUUCCGCCCUUCAGUGCUGCAGCUAACGCAUUAAGCAUUCCGCCUGGGGAGUACGGCCGCAAGGCUGAAACUCAAAGGAAUUGACGGGGGCCCGCACAAGCGGUGGAGCAUGUGGUUUAAUUCGAAGCUACGCGAAGAACCUUACCAGGUCUUGACAUACUAUGCAAAUCUAAGAGAUUAGACGUUCCCUUCGGGGACAUGGAUACAGGUGGUGCAUGGUUGUCGUCAGCUCGUGUCGUGAAAUGUUGGGUUAAGUCCCGCAACGAGCGCAACCCUUAUUAUCAGUUGCCAGCAUUAAGUUGGGCACUCUGGUGAGACUGCCGGUGACAAACCGGAGGAAGGUGGGGAUGACGUCAAAUCAUCAUGCCCCUUAUGACCUGGGCUACACACGUGCUACAAUGGAUGGUACAACGAGUUGCGAACUCGCGAGAGUAAGCUAAUCUCUUAAAGCCAUUCUCAGUUCGGAUUGUAGGCUGCAACUCGCCUACAUGAAGUCGGAAUCGCUAGUAAUCGCGGAUCAGCAUGCCGCGGUGAAUACGUUCCCGGGCCUUGUACACACCGCCCGUCACACCAUGAGAGUUUGUAACACCCAAAGUCGGUGGGGUAACCUUUUAGGAACCAGCCGCCUAAGGUGGGACAGAUGAUUAGGGUG
rnacentral:rRNA from 2 species